rnacentral:rRNA from 1 species
CCUACGGGAGGCAGCAGUGGGGAAUAUUGCACAAUGGGCGCAAGCCUGAUGCAGCCAUGCCGCGUGUGUGAAGAAGGCCCUAGGGUUGUAAAGCACUUUCAGUGGGGAGGAAAGGUUGAAGGUUAAUACCCUUCAGCUGUGACGUUACCCACAGAAGAAGCACCGGCUAACUCCGUGCCAGCAGCCGCGGUAAU